rnacentral:rRNA from 1 species
GACGAACGCUGGCGGCGUGCUUAACACAUGCAAGUCGAGCGGAAAGGCCCUUCGGGGUACUCGAGCGCGGAAGGGGUGAGUAACACGUGCAUAACAGGCCCCAGCCCUUGGGUUAACCCUCGCAACCGGGGGCUAAUACCGGUAACGACUAAGCUCUCCUGCGGGUUGGUGUGGAAUGUUUUUCGGUUGGGGAUGGGCUGGGGGCCUAUCAGCUUGUUGGUGGGGUGAUGGCCUACCAAGGCGACGACGGGUAGCCGGCCUGAGAGGGCGACCGGCCACACUGGGACUGAGACACGGCCCAGACUCCUACGGGAGGCAGCAGUGGGGAAUAUUGCACAAUGGGCGGAAGCCUGAUGCAGCGACGCCGCGUGAGGGAUGACGGCCUUCGGGUUGUAAACCUCUUUCAGCAGGGACGAAGCGUAAGUGACGGUACCUGCAGAAGAAGCGCCGGCCAACUACGUG